rnacentral:rRNA from 1 species
UAGCCUUGACAUACUACAGAAUUUGACAGAGAUGUUGAAGUGCCUUCGGGAGCUGUAAUACAGGUGCUGCACGGCUGUCGUCAGCUCGUGUCGUGAGAUGUUGGGUUAAGUCCCGCAACGAGCGUAACCCCUGCCCUUAGUUGCCAUCAUUAAGUUGGGCACUCUAAAGGGACUGCCGGUGAUAAACCGGAGGAAGGUGAGGACGACGUCAAGUCAUCAUGGCCCUUACGGCUAGGGCAACACACGUGCUACAAUGGUUAGGACAAUGAGAAGCGAUACCGCGAGGUGGAGCAAAUCUAUAAACCUAAUCUCAGUUCGGAUAGCAGUCUGCAACUCGACUGCUUGAAGCUGGAAUCACUAGUAAUCGUAAAUCAGCUAUGUUACGGUGAAUACGUUCCCGGGUCU